CGAGACCCACGCCAACAGUUGCCAGCUCGGUCCUCCCGGGAUGGAGGGGACGACUGUUGGGACCGCCUCUGCUAAAGAGGAGGAAGGAAUGGGCAACGGUAGGUCAGCAUGCCCCGAAUUAUCUGGGCUACACGCGGGCUACAAUGGGUGGGACAAUGGGUAUCGACACCGAAAGGUGAAGGCAAUCUCCUAAACCCAUCCUUAGUUCGGAUUGUGGGCUGCAACUCGCCCACAUGAAGCUGGAAUCCGUAGUAAUCGCGUUUCAACAGAACGCGGUGAAUACGUCCCUGCUCCUU
rnacentral:rRNA from 1 species